UUUUAUGGAGAGUUUGAUCCUGGCUCAGGAUGAACGCUGGCGGCGUGCCUAAUACAUGCAAGUCGAGCGAACGGACGAGAAGCUUGCUUCUCUGAUGUUAGCGGCGGACGGGUGAGUAACACGUGGAUAACCUACCUAUAAGACUGGGAUAACUUCGGGAAACCGUAGCUAAUACCGGAUAAUAUUUUGAACCGCAUGGUUCAAAAGUGAAAGACGGUCUUGCUGUCACUUAUAGAUGGAUCCGCGCUGCAUUAGCUAGUUGGUAAGGUAACGGCUUACCAAGGCAACGAUGCAUAGCCGACCUGAGAGGGUGAUCGGCCACACUGGAACUGAGACACGGUCCAGACUCCUACGGGAGGCAGCAGUAGGGAAUCUUCCGCAAUGGGCGAAAGCCUGACGGAGCAACGCCGCGUGAGUGAUGAAGGUCUUCGGAUCGUAAAACUCUGUUAUUAGGGAAGAACAUAUGUGUAAGUAACUGUGCACAUCUUGACGGUACCUAAUCAGAAAGCCACGGCUAACUACGUGCCAGCAGCCGCGGUAAUACGUAGGUGGCAAGCGUUAUCCGGAAUUAUUGGGCGUAAAGCGCGCGUAGGCGGUUUUUUAAGUCUGAUGUGAAAGCCCACGGCUCAACCGUGGAGGGUCAUUGGAAACUGGAAAACUUGAGUGCAGAAGAGGAAAGUGGAAUUCCAUGUGUAGCGGUGAAAUGCGCAGAGAUAUGGAGGAACACCAGUGGCGAAGGCGACUUUCUGGUCUGUAACUGACGCUGAUGUGCGAAAGCGUGGGGAUCAAACAGGAUUAGAUACCCUGGUAGUCCACGCCGUAAACGAUGAGUGCUAAGUGUUAGGGGGUUUCCGCCCCUUAGUGCUGCAGCUAACGCAUUAAGCACUCCGCCUGGGGAGUACGACCGCAAGGUUGAAACUCAAAGGAAUUGACGGGGACCCGCACAAGCGGUGGAGCAUGUGGUUUAAUUCGAAGCAACGCGAAGAACCUUACCAAAUCUUGACAUCCUUUGACAACUCUAGAGAUAGAGCCUUCCCCUUCGGGGGACAAAGUGACAGGUGGUGCAUGGUUGUCGUCAGCUCGUGUCGUGAGAUGUUGGGUUAAGUCCCGCAACGAGCGCAACCCUUAAGCUUAGUUGCCAUCAUUAAGUUGGGCACUCUAAGUUGACUGCCGGUGACAAACCGGAGGAAGGUGGGGAUGACGUCAAAUCAUCAUGCCCCUUAUGAUUUGGGCUACACACGUGCUACAAUGGACAAUACAAAGGGCAGCGAAACCGCGAGGUCAAGCAAAUCCCAUAAAGUUGUUCUCAGUUCGGAUUGUAGUCUGCAACUCGACUACAUGAAGCUGGAAUCGCUAGUAAUCGUAGAUCAGCAUGCUACGGUGAAUACGUUCCCGGGUCUUGUACACACCGCCCGUCACACCACGAGAGUUUGUAACACCCGAAGCCGGUGGAGUAACCUUUUAGGAGCUAGCCGUCGAAGGUGGGACAAAUGAUUGGGGUGAAGUCGUAACAAGGUAGCCGUAUCGGAAGGUGCGGCUGGAUCACCUCCUUUCUAA
rnacentral:rRNA from 4 species